rnacentral:miRNA from 1 species
CCGUUCACUCAUCUCGUCAAUCG